rnacentral:rRNA from 1 species
GCCCGGCCCUAAAUCUUGAUGCUUACCCUACUAAAGCAUCCGCCUGAGAACUACGAGCACAAACGCUUAAAACUCUAAGGACUUGGCGGUGCCACAAACCCACCUAGAGGAGCCUGUUCUGUAAUCGACAACCCACGAUACACCCGACCACCUCUUGCCAAAAACAGCCUACAUACCGCCGUCGCCAGCUCACCUCCCCUGAGAGCACAGCAGUGAACACAAUCGCCCUAACCCCGCUAAUAAGACAGGUCAAGGUAUAGCUCAUGAGGUGGAAGAAAUGGGCUACAUUUUCUAGCUUAGAAAAUUCCCCAAACGGAAGGGAGCAUGAAAUAACUCCCAGAAGGCGGAUUUAGCAGUAAAGAAAGAUAAUAAAGCUUCCUUUAAACUGGCUCUGAGGCAC